rnacentral:rRNA from 1 species
UACGUAGGGGGCAAGCGUUGUCCGGAAUUAUUGGGCGUAAAGAGCUCGUAGGCGGCUUGUCACGUCGGAUGUGAAAGCCCGGGGCUUAACCCCGGGUCUGCAUUCGAUACGGGCUAGCUAGAGUGUGGUAGGGGAGAUCGGAAUUCCUGGUGUAGCGGUGAAAUGCGCAGAUAUCAGGAGGAACACCGGUGGCGAAGGCGGGUCUCUGGGCCGAUACUGACGCUGAGGAGCGAAAGCGUGGGGAGCGAACAGG